rnacentral:tRNA from 1 species
GGGGAUUUAGCUAAGUGGUACAGCAUUUGCCUGAAAAGUAUGAGGUCCUGAGUUUGAUUCCCAGUACCCUCC